rnacentral:lncRNA from 1 species
CAUAUUUCUCAACACUAUUUGAAGGUCGACUCUAAUUCAAUUGUUUAGAGCUUCGACUUUAUACAAACAACAACCUCAUAAUAUUAACAUAUUAUAUUAUCAUAACCAUAAGAUUCACUAACCAAACCAGCCACUACUUCGGUGGCGCUUCCGUUUUGGAAUCUCGCUCCGACGUUCUCGAGUCGGAAUCUCACUCGAAACCCAUUCCCAUAUAUUUGGGAUCUUGUUCUAAUUGUGAGGAUUCUCGAUCCUAUUAACAACGGAGCUCGCUCCCAUUCACAACGGAUUUGGAUCCCAUACACAACGGAGAAGAGUUGAACUAAAGGAGAGAGAGAAUGUGAGCUGCCGAUUGCAAAUCAGAGUGAGAAAUGUGCUCAACGCAUGUCAUGAGCAGCUGCCGUAACUGUUGGGCCGGUGGCGAGCCACAUUGGCUUGGGAAGCCGAUGCGGUGGUGGUCAGAGGGGUCUUCUUCUUCAUGGGUCAUUGGAGGAGGAGUCCAAAGAGCCAAGCAUUUCACAGUAGCGUAAUUGCACCUAUUCUCCACGAGCUUGAGCCAGAGUGGUCGUGGUGGUAGAGGGAGAGUAAUAUAUGAGGAAAGAGAUGAUGGAAUGCAGUUUCUGUGACGGGACAUGAUCUGCCAGCACAGAGUAGUGUAGAUAUUGUUCAUGAAACAAACUCUUUUUUCCUCUUUUUUUUUCUUGUUUUGGGAUUGCAACUAUAGAGGCAGAGAAAUUACAUUAGAUAGAAUUCUGAUUGAUUACAGAUUGAGAGAGAGAAAACCAAAGGGCUAAGUAGAGAGAGAAACUGGUACUUGUGCAGUGAGAGAAAAAAAGGCGAGGUAAAGAUCCUAAUCCGCUGCUGAAAAUGGGUAUCAGAAGAGAUCCAAUCCCAAGUCCCUUCCUUAUAUUUGGAGGAGAAUUCCCCUUUCUCUCUCAAACUUGGGUCGGUAAUGGUGAAGAGAGAGAAAGAGAGUGUGUUCCCAAACACGCAAAGCCUUUAAUGGGUGAACAGAGACUAUUCACUCACCCCGUCCAUCCCCUUCGUUUGUUUCUAUCUAUAGACCUAGUGAAGGGAUGAUGGGUUUCAGAUAACUUCGUUGCAGAACCCUCUAUCCGAUCAACUUGCAGAACCCUCUAUCCGAUCAACCUCUCUCUUGCAUUGAGGCCACGGAAUUUCAGAGCACAACCAAUCCAAAAAUAAUCAUCCUUCUCCACCUUACCUCAACCUCUUUUCAAUUUUGAGGAUUCUCGAUCCUAUUAACGACGGUCUCUACUUCAAAGAUAUCACUCCCAUUCACAACAUAUCCCGAUCCCAUUACAGCACAAAUUUCUUGGUAAAGCAAGGAUCUCAACACGGAACUUCUACCUUCAUGGGAACUCACUCUCCGAGCUCUACAGCUUUGGGCAGCUAUCGAUCCGGUACUCUUGCUCCCAAAACCGGAGCUGCUCCCAAAACCGGAACCGCUCCCGCUCCCGAAGGUAGCUGAUGCCUAUUUUAACGACGUGCGGCCUACAAAGGUAGCUGACGCCGUAUAUGUAUAUUAUAGAUCGCUAAUGAAAGAGGUCAACUUGGAUAUGAAAAGGGUCUUUCUUGUAUUCCGUUUCUUAUCUGCCCAAAAACUCUUUAUUUUUGCAAACAAUCAAAUUAGAGAGGAAAAGUACAAUUUGGUGACCCGAAUCACCCCUCGAGAGAAUUGUUUCAGAUCAAAUCGUUGGAUUGGCGAUCUCAGCCUGAUG